GCUGGGUGUGGUGGCGGGCACCUGUAAUCCCAGCUACUUGGGAGGCUGAGACAGGAGAAUUGCUUGAACCCAGGAGGCAGAGGCUGCAGUGAACUGAGAUUGUGCUACUGUACUCCAGCCUGGGCAACAGAGCGAGACUCUGUCUCAA
rnacentral:SRP_RNA from 1 species